CAAGGGACGUUCCUUCCUGUGCAGAAGGCGGAAGAAGCCGCCAAGAAGGCGCCGCAGCAGAGACCUGAAAUCAACCCCCCCGCGCUGCAGCCCCAGAAGUCCCCCCCGCCAGACGUCACCUGCUCCUGCCAGUGCUGCCCAUGCAAGUGUCAUUACGUGACGAUAAGCAGCGCAAAACUGCCACGUCGAUUCUCAGCUGUGCAAUACAUACAACAAUGGUAAUGACCGAGUAACCAGCAAUGCAGGAAUGACUCCUCGCCUAGUAACAUGCCUUUAAGCACCAAGGAGAUCCAGACAAGUGCAGCUGAAUCCAACACCAUAACGAAGCCAUCAGCAUGAAGAACACACAGGACCUGCCGGCCACUUCCCAUUAGGGGCUGUAACCCUUAAUGUGUAAUAAACUCUCCACACCCACAGAACAUUAUGAGGGAUGGUCUCUCUUAGGCAACUAAGAACACCCUGCAUUUGCACAUAGUCCAUUCACUUUGCCACCUCCCUGCUAAGACAGUUGCAACCAACCAAGGCCAGGUACUUUAUAUGAAAACUAUGCUAAGUUCAGACAAAGAAAGCAGCAUCCUUAAGAAUUGACGUAGAACUUUUAAACUAGUGUCACCUGUCCACACACUGAAAAUUGAUUUGAUAGACAAAAUUCUGAGGAAAGUGACAAUUUUAGCCAGUUACACUCCGCUGCUUACAGUCGGUCAGGAAUCAGAUUGUCCUUCUCAGUCCAAGUUAGUAUUGUUCAAUUGCGCCCCCCCACCUUUUCUUUGGGGGGGGGGGGCAAGGAAGCCUCUGACAUUUCUUGUAAGUUGUUAUUAUUGGAAAAACAUUUUGCCAGUGCCAGCAUCAGCACAGCUCAGGAUUUUUUACACACUGCUUCUUUCCUACCCUGACACAUUCAUCCUUCCAACAGCUGCUAACAGAGUGACUGUGGGGGCUCCAUCCCUCCUCACCUAAUUGCACCAACUUUAAUAACCCACAGAGGGGAAGACAAACCCUUUCCCCACAGCAGUCCAUUGUAGAUACUGAAAAUGUUCUAGUUAAGAGGCCAAAUUCUAACCCACAGAAACAUCAGGCAGCGGAGGAUAGUUUUGUGCCUUAGGAACAGGACUGGGAGUUAGGAGAUCUAGGUUCUGGUCCCAGCCCUGCUGUUAACUCAUUGCAUGACUUCAGACAAGUCCCUUUCCUUUCAAUUCCUUAUCUGUAAAGCUGAAAUAGUCACACAUCCCUUCCUCACGGGGUGGGUUGUGAUGAAAAUGCACUGACGUACGGGAGGUGAUCAGACACUGAAGAAAGGCCUGUAAAUAGAAUUUGAUCUCAGUGUGCUGCAUUUACAGCUACAGAGAAACUGCCCUGUAGGAUGCUGCUAGGCACAACCAGCCGAUGAGAGCAACUCCUGCCUCAGGCCUCUGGCAGAAAGUAGCUGCAAAACCCUGGGUGUCCCUGGACAUUGCUCUCCUGGGAGGGGAUGUUCAGCAUGCACCUUCGUGGAGGCCUUGGUUUUCCCAUUUAAAACCUCCCUCCUCCCUUUUUAAGCCAUAAUAUGCAGUGACUCCCACUGGCCAGCAGGUGUCACUGUAACGCUAUGUGGAGACUGAUUUCCCCAGGGAAUCAGGUCCCCGCUCAGCAUUCCCAGGAGUUGUCCCAGGUCAGAUCAUAAGGAGAAAGCACCACUCUGAUUUUACAAAGCCCUUUUUAUUUGUGAACAGACUGAUGCAGGCAUAUAACACAGGCACAGCCAUGCCAGAGCACAGCCAGCUCUCAACAACUGUGCCGGGGCAGAGACAGCGAGAAGAGAAUAGCAGAGCAGGUGCAACAACACCGCGAAUACAAACAUACAGUGAGAGAUGAUGGAAAAGGACAAGAGACGCUUUCAGAACACAAGGUGCUUCCUCGCCCCUGCCUCAGGCAGGGAUUUAAUCCAUGGCAACCUUCAUGGAACAUAUAAACGAUCAGGAAAAGACACUUAAUGAUUAACAUGCCUCCGCUGAAAUGUGCUAGUUUGGGAGCCCUGGAGACUGGACCUCUGGAUCCACAGAGCAGGUAAAUGAAAGGCAAGCUACAGAACACUGCCCUGCUGGGACCUCUAGGAAGGUCAGGCUCCUUGGAGUCUCUGCUGAGUGCCACCCCAGGGGCAGGGGUCUUGUGGACGGUGAUUAGUUCUUUGCUGAGGCACAAAGGUUUCCUCUCCCAACUACUCUGAUGCAUGUUGCUUUUCCCACCGUGUCCCAUCUGGCUGGAGAGGCGUUUAGGGCGAUGUUGGGCUGCUCUGGGUCAGAUCAUAUGCCCAGCAAUUUCUAUACAUCCAUCCAUCCAGGCAGAAUGUGCCAGUCAUUAGCAACGCUGGGAUCUAAGGAGGGUGCUUAUGCCCAUGGGUCUAGCAGGCAGUAACGUGAGUGUGCAUCCUCUGCCUGAGCUGUUCCUACAGAGAAUGAGUCUGUACCGUACAAGGCUCUGGAGAGAGGGUGGAAGAGCGGCCAGAGCUCCUUCCCUCAUAGAAAAUGCUACAAAUAGGUAUAAACGGCAACUGUUGUUUCCUGGCAUUUGCAUGAACAGAGCUUUUCUUAUCCAAGUAAGACUCCUGCCACUCAUUAAAGUUAAACUCCUUAAUACAGGAGCCCACAAGGGAGUGCCCCAGAAAAUGGCAUGUGCUGUGUGGAGAAUGCAUGAUGGGCCCCUCACCUUCCUCUGCCAUCUGGGAAGUAGCAAUCCCUCUCCUCCCUGCCUCCAUGCUGCAAGGAUGCAGCAGAAUUUGAUCACUUUGGGUACAAGAUAGACCGUGGCCGCUGCAUCGAUCUGGACUGCACAACCCUUCAUGCGAGACAAUCCCUCUGAUAGGAUUAGGAAAAGUCAGGGACUGAACAUACUUACCCAGCCUCCCUCGACAUCCACUACACCACCCUUACCCCUCUCGGUGCAAACCAGGCAGAGUUUUAGCCCAUUAUUCAGUGCUUGUUAUUUAAGAGCCAGAGGUUCUUAGAUGUCAGUGCAGUUGGGUUUCUCCCUGCUUCGCAGAGCCGGGGUGUGAUUGCUAUCCAAUAAUCACUAGGGGAUGCUCUCCAGCCAAGAGCGCCCACACCACAGGGCACAGGCACAAAAAUGUUAUUUGGCAGGAGAGCUGAUUUGACCAACAGGUAAUGCCUCCCCUAGUGCAAUAGUGAAAUACUGCACAGGACAAGGCAGCUAACAACCUAGCAGAGUUCUCUUAAUCAGUUAAUACAGCAAUUUCCCUAUACAGUGUGCACACUCUGCUGAUGCCAACCCCCAUACAGGAUACAAAGGGGAAUUGCAAACUCAGAGCAGCGUGUUCCAAGUUCAUGAAAUUCUUUCAGUCUGUAACCAGGAAACAGCAGCAGACUGAACGUCUCCUCCCAAGGGAGAGCCAAACGUCCUGUUUAAAAUCACGGUGGCUUGGACGAGAAGCCCCUGGAGUUGCUGUGUCCCUGGUACAACUUGCCUUUGCGACAGAAGAAUGUCACCGUCCAGUGACCCCAUCAUGGUGGGCGGUGGUACAGCGGGUGAGGCAGCGUCGCAUUCCCUCUACAGUCCACAUACUUGUAGCUCUCAAAAGCCAGCUGCUCCGAGUGGCACAGGUACGAGCAGGUUAGGGUGCCCCUGCAACACACAAUAAUCCAUUUUACUUGAACUAUAAAGAGAUUUGAAAGCACCAAGCUGGAUCUUCUGCUGGGAUUUCACUUUUCCUUAAAGUUCCAUUGUGGUCUUUCCCAACCACUCGCACAAUUUUCGUCUUUCUUACUCUGAAACGCCAAACCACUCACACCACAAGUCCAGGCCAAGCUGCCCCGUUUCACACAUUUGUAGGGGGCUCCCUCAGACCACAUUAAUUUUUAAGGCAGCAUUUAAGCGAUCCCCUAUCAGCAAUCUGCAAUGUUCUUCUAACACAGCCUUUAAAGCUGGACCCAUUCACUGCUACAGCCUCUGCACCUCUGCCUGCUCCUUAAAGGUCAUGCCAAACAAACCGAGCACUUGCGUAGUCGAAGCGACAACGUAGCGCGACAGCAGCACAUACCUUCCCAUUCUGUUCUCAGUGUUACAGCAAAGAAUAGUUUGUACCCUACCAUGCCAGGCACCACAGGGCUAACACCACUGGGAAGUGGCACAACACAGAAGAGAGGCAGCAAAGGUCACCUUCUGCCUCCUGCGAGUGACAACGAUGGCCAGCAGAAAGAUGGUGUGACUGCAGGAGCUGUAGCCGCUCGGCCCAGCGCCACUGCAGAUAUUCACACCAUCCUACUCGAUACUCAGCCCUGUCAACACUAGGUCUCGGUACCUGUAUCAGAGGGGAUACAGAUUGUUUAACUGCUAGAGCAGACGGGCCAAACCAUUCUCAUCCCAGAAUGUACCACAGGGACUUGGCCGCACUAUGUCUGAGCCAGUGGUUCUCAACUUAUUUACCAUUGCGGGCUGCAUCUGCAGCCCACAAUGUGUUAUGUGGGCCGCAUCCAAUACUACCUGUAUGGCCCCGAGGAGGUCACAUGGGCCGCAGCUGAGAGCCGCACUCUAAGCCAUGGUUCAAGAACAGUGUUGGAAAUGGGUUUGUGGUCACUGCUCCAUUGGCCACCAGACAGGAAACCGCUGUCAAUGGCAGGUCAGUUUCUGGGUCAUGUUACUGACCAACCCCUGGGAAGGAUUGUGUGGGCCUACACUCACUCCCACCUCUGCAGGAGGAGGCGGCAAAACUUUCUCGGUUUGCCUGGUGUGGGCUGCUCUCACUGGCUCAUUCAAAAUACAGCACAAUUCACAUGCAGUCAAGCUGAGUGCAAUGCCUUCAGGCCAUCUUCCUGGCCAGGACCUCCUCUGCAGCCAGGCUGUCUGCAGAAGAUGGGUCCAGGGCAGGAUGUCUGCAGAAGAGAGAAUGUGCUUGGUUCCUUCACACCCUGGUGUCUCAGCCAUCUGAGCAGCUGGGGUCUUUGUUCAAAUGCUGAAGACCUCAAGCACGAGUCUGAGUCACUCUGCCCCAACAUGGGGGAUGUACAGGAUCUAUCCUUUGGGGAACAGGCCAAGCUCAUUCUCCUCCUGCACCAUUCACCCCAGACACAGGUAUAGCUGUUCCCAAUGCAGGCAGAAACAGUACCACUGUACAAGUCACCUCACCAACACUCUGGGUUUGCACUGCUGGAGCUGCCUGGGGCUGAAGUCCAGGCAUGCUCCCCUGCACCAAUAGCUUGGGUGACUUCCCCCUUGAAAUUCAAAUAACUGUGACACACCCACGCCAACAGUUGCAAACCUACCUGGGGAAAGACUAAUUACAACUUCGAACAGUCUUGGUCUCUGAAAGCACUAAUACAAAGAGAAAUCCAGAUCGCCUCAGUGAGGAAUGUUUGGGACCACGCAGAUCAACAGCGAGUGAUUCGCUUUUAACCAAACGCCACUUACUGUAUGUGCAGUAGAACGUUGUGGACUUUGAUUUUGAUCCAGGUGCAGAUGUUGCUUAGGAGACAGAAAAUAGAGACUUAAUUUUGCAGUACAAUGUUUUCAUCACACAAGACCCGUCCUGCACCACAGAGCAACCCAGGCCUGGCGAGAGAGCGCAAGCUUCUCCGAAGUGCUUCUCCGAUCAGAUCUACACUUGGAAGACUUUGCCUAUGUGGCUGGACCGAUCGGCUUACUUGGCAAAGCACUCCUUGUAUGGAGACUGCUUAUACUGGCAAACCUUAUUCCUUUAAACCUUUAGCUGACAAAACUUAUUCCAGCCAUGCCCCCGUCUCCUCCUUGAGCAAUAUAAGCUAUUCUGGUGAAAGUGCCAUUUUGCCAGUAUACCUGCAUCUACAUUAGGGGCUUUUACUGACGUAGCUAAUUUGGUCAGAGAUCACAACCUCAACAGAAGUUUGUAGUGUAGACCUGACACCCUUCCUGCAAAUGCAUCAAGCAGAACAAGGUGGGAGAAUUCACAUUCCAGCAACACCUGACAUCUCCCCACCAUGGGCAGAGCAGGAAACAGAUCGCACAAGAUGCCUGUGGAGAAUCAGUAAACUGCUCAUUCACAGAGAUUGGGGGUGGUAGAUACACUUAACUGCACACAGAUGGACUAAUUUGUAUCAGGCAUUUCCAAACCAGAUUUAUUAAUCUGUGGGGAUAUUAGAUUUGAAAGUGAUACAGUCUUGUCAGUUGCAGGCUGGGAAAACAUUUACUGCAGAAGAACUAGAAAGGAAUGUAAAAUGGACAUGCUGGGUUUCUGUCCCAACAUGAUUACAUACACGAAAAUCAAAGGGACACAUUCUCAGCUGCACUGCAGGGUCAGCUAGAAUGAGGCUACCGCCCAAGUUAUAAAUUUAUGCCAGACUGCCCCUUGAGAAAAGCCCAGAAACAUUAAUGCUACUUUCCUGGCUGGUAAGUAAGUCUCUGAGAAAUACUUACUAGGUAUUAUAGUCCCGUAUAAUACUGGAGACUGCAUAAUAGAUCUGCAAGUAAAACAGACGAGUUAGUUGGAGAUUUAGAGAGAUUACAGUAACCAUGUACAGGUGCAGCCCAGUGAGCCGAGCACAGAGAGAAUUAAAGAUGAUCCCAUCAAUUCCACACAGCUCAGAGCCAGUAUUUAAAAUCCAAUCCACAUUGUGUUGGGACCAAGUUACAACAUGGCAGAUCUCGACAGAGUUACAAUACGCAGCAUGAACCGGUGCAAGAAACACCCAUAUGAGACCUCAGCAUUCGGUCUUUUGCCUCCCGUGUUUGCUAAGUACUGCCCUGGGCCAGCAAGUGAAUGGGCACCUGGAAAGACAGGAAUGGGGGGGGGGAGGCAGUGAAGGGAUGCUCUGCCCCUGGGGCAAUAGAACUACAAGGCAACAGAGAAGGGGACCACUAUUUCUCCCCACCCAAAGGGGGCCAGACAUUUCGAUAGGGCAGCAAGAGGCAGCAGCACCCACCUGGCUGCUGUGCAAAGGGCCGAUAUUCAGCAGGUACUUCUUGGUGGUUUUCCCUAUCACCACGGACAGGUGUAAGACCUCAAUGUCCAGUUGGGUAACAGUGACUGGGUAGAAGUUGUUGUUGGUUACAUUCAACACGUUCUAAGGAGAGAGACAAGCUCAGCCCGAAGCCCUCACACAGCGAGGGUAACGCGUGUGCUGGAUUUCCAUGCAGUGACCUUGCAGCAGCACACCCCUGCAAACGCCAGUCCUCAGACACUGGUAGCUGAGCCGUGGCAAUUCCCCUCUGCUGAGGAUUGUCCCAAGGAAACACCCAACAUCGCAUUUGGGUGAGAGUCACUAGCUCUUUACAGGAGCAAAGCUGCUCACCUGCCCCAGAGCUGCUCUGGGGAUCACUUGCCCCCGCUCUGCUCCCUGUCCCGCAGUCAUGGCUGGGCUGAAAGCGGAGGAAAGAUGCAACACACAGCGACAAAAUUCCCAGCAUUUGUUACAUAGCUCACUUCCACCCAGCAGCACCUCCUGCUCCAUCACACUCUGCUCCAACAUGCCUCAUUUCUGACGGGCCACUCCAGUCUCGCCUGCUGUCCCACUAUGUGCACACAGCUCUGCCACCUAGCUCCCUACUGACCUGCCGCGCUAUCCUCAAGGCUUAGAAGUGAGCCAAGCUAUGGACUGAGAAUGAGAUACGAGCUCAAUGUCACCGUACGCGCUGCGCUGAGAACUCACUGUCAUGUUGAGAUCGAUACUGAGAACGGUGGAAUUAAAGGCAAUGGAGGAGGCAUUCAGCCCUGCGGGCUGCACAGCAAUGGAGCGAGGGAACAGGAAGAAGAUGAUGAGAGAUGACAUCAGCAGGCAAAUCGUCACGGCAAGGGACACAUAGAGCUUCCUGCAAGACAGCAUCAAAGGAUCGUAACUCGCCUGGUCCAGCCCUGUCCUGCAGCCCUGACUCUACAGGGUUGGACAAGCACAGGGUGGCACGAGUGCCAGCUCAGACACAGUAAGCACCAAGACAUGAGGGCCUGCAAAGGGAUUGUGCAGUAGUGGCAGCACGUUCACGUUGGGGCCAGGAGGGGGUGGGUUUCAGACCCAGAAACAUGCUGCUUGUCACUGCUGGAAGUCAGCAGUCCCACAUGGCCCUUUUCAAACAGAACUAGGCCAGAAUCCCAGCCCACAGUCCCUCCUGCAUCAAGAAGUGCUACUACAGCCCACUGCCAACACAGGACAGAUGCCCUGCAGGCAUCAAAACCCACUGCAGCUCGGGGCCCAACGAGCAACGAAGCUUUUAAAUGAACCUCUGCAAACAGAUUCCUCCUGUAAUGCUGCGCCCCCCAGCUGCACCCAUUUAAACGCAGCCAGAGCAUUAAAAGAACAAGGGAGAAACAGGACUUUACGUUCGUCUGGGCUUCAGCCUCUGGUCACCGUAUGGAAUCAGAGCCACCAACUGCUUCUCCUGCUCUGAAAGACAGAAGAUAAGAGGCGCAGGUCAGAAGAGAUGCAUCGCACUGGGUGCAGUAGUGAACAGGGCACAUCAGGCUGCAGUUUAGGGUCCAUCAGUAUUCUCGUUACAAAUGCUGCCCCAUCAGAGGGAUGCAGGGGUCUAACUCAAAUAACCCUUGUUGGCUUCAGCCAAGCACAGAGACAGACUGAGCUUGGCUAACUUGGGGCUGCACGGAUACCUUCCAACAGCCCCAGGUCUUGCACUGAUUAACGCAAGAUGGAGCCGAUCGCAGGCUCUCUCUUUAGUACAGAGAUGGAGCCUGCAGGUCACAGCAUGCAAUGCUCCAUCAUGACUGGUGUUCCAUAGGACGCACAGCUGAGCGAGACGCAACAAGCAGAGGUCUGUUUGGUGAAGUGCCUGGAAAGGCUGGAAACCACUGACCAAGCACACACAAGAACCACCUACCCCUGGGGAUCCUUCCCGUUCCCUGGCACGUUGGGCAGUUGAUGCAGCCCCGACUCACAGUGCCCACACAGGGCAUGCAGGAUGCGGCAGAGUCUCCUCCAUUGAUAGUGCCAUAAUUGGUGACUUCAUCCUCAUCAGCCGAUUUCCUGCGCAGAAUCGAUUUCCCUCCCCUCUCCUUCUGGUCGGAGACCUUCCAGAACCGGGAGAACGUUUCGCCCAUAGUUGAAAGAGAAUUUUUCACUAGAUCCAAAACCAAAAAACAUUCCAGAAAAAAGUCUCUUUAUUAAUCAGUCCUGCUAACUCUUGUGUUUUUAAUAGCAAAUAUUGCACUAGUUGGAGUACUUCCUGAAACCCCACCUCCUGGAGUCACGGGAAUGUGUCAGAAUCUCAGCUUUCAAUUUAAAAAAAUUAAAAGUAAGUUUUUUCUAGCCCUAGUGGUUACAGGGAAGAAACUUGACUCGAGCGUGAGCUAAUGGCUACAAAAACAGAAGGUAAAUAAAAAGAACCCUGUGUGUUUUGCUUUUUCCAAUCUCAUUAAUUUUGGGGGUCUGACUCAUGAAUUUUUGAAUUCUAGGGGGUGGCAGCAUCACUGCAAAAAUCUACAAGUAACAAUUCCAAGGUUCUUUUCCUAUGGCAGAUCACUCACCCAAUUGGCAGCAAAAAUACUGGGCACACACACACGCAUGCGCUCACUUUUGAAUGCAUCAACCCCUCACCAAACUUAACCUUACUAAACAGAUGCCUAAUUAAAAUCAGAUCAGCAUUUGUCUCUCCCCUUUAGUUUAAACCAAAAUGACUUCUCAGAUCCUCUUCCUGGUUCACUGCAGCCCCUUGCAAUCAGAAACUGGUGAAUCAGCUGUCAGAAUGAGCCCACAGCCAGGCUUAUUAUUAAAGAGAGUUUGCAACAAAAGAAGAAAAAUAGCAGAAGUGAAAGAACAAUAUUCUACCACCAGCCCAUGUGAAUGCAGCUUCCUCCAUGAUGUCAGCUGCCAGCAGAAAGGGGCGAGGAUUGCUCUCUAGUCUAGGCAGCCUUGCUUUAAUGACUGAGAGACAGGCUGCUUCUCGACAGAAAGGGCCUAAAGGAAGACUAAUUGCACUCACCGAGAAGGAUGAGAGGCUGGAUGUAAAGAACCACUCUUGAUUCUUGCUUGAAACGCGCUGGAGAAAAGAACUUGGGGAUGUGGGGUGCAACACCCACGGACACAUCCAGACCUCUCCUUUAGUCCCCAGACCUCAGAGACCAGCGCUGCUGAGAGCUCAGCGUCAGAGUCUCAGCAAACUCCGCUUAUAUUUACCAGGUGGAGGCAAGCAGGGAUAUUCCUGGUGACAAAGGAAGCCUUUGGACUUCAUUCAAGUAAGGAGUACCGUGUGCAUGCAUGGCACUUCACAAACAAGAAAAGAGCAACUCCUUGAUCAAAGAACAAAACACAUUUGAAGGAUGGUGCUGGAAGCUGAUAAACGAGUAUCAUUUCAGA